ensembl:ncRNA F41D9.9 ncRNA
ACUUGUGAGAGCAAGAUGAACUGGGAUGUGGCAGAGAAAUAAAAAUCCACGUUCACUUUUUCAAGAUAGCAUAUCACACUGCAAUCG